CUGUUAUCCACUGAGCCACGCCACUGUCAGAGUGUCCCAUUCCAAAUGAGCUGUCUAAAAUUGGAACGGAGGGUGAAGGCGAGUGAAAGAAGGUGACCGAGCCAGGAGGAGAGAGAGCACAGAUGGCUUGGUGGUGGUAUGGUGUGCUCCAUCGGCUGCCAACCUAGGGCCAUCGCCUGCCUCCAUCACCCGUUCGCCGCCUGCCCACCACCCAAUCCCAAAUGGGUACUGGAUCAGGUGCCGAAUCUGGCUGCCUCCUCGGGCCCUCCUUCCCAUUCCCUGUUAGGCAUGGAUUGCUGAAUGACAGAUGGAGUGCCGUAUGAGGACACAAUGGAGGAAGCAUGCCAUUGCUAAGACUCCCAGGAAGAAGAGUGGUGAGCCUGACAGUCCUGCUGGCCUCCAGUCAUUCCACUGCUGACACUGGCUGUGUCCUCUAGCCUGCUCU
rnacentral:lncRNA from 1 species